AGUUUAUUGUUUUUUAUAAUAAAUUUUUUCUGCCCGGUGAAUAUUUUAACGGCCGCGGUACUCUGACCGUGCAAAGGUAGCAUAAUCAUUUGUUCUUUAAUUGGGGACUAGAAUGAAAGAAAGGUUGAAAGCAAAGCUGUCUCUUUUAAGAGCAAGAAAUUGCUGCUGUUGUGAAGAAGCAAUAGUCUGUCAAAAAGACAAGAAGACCCUAUUAAGCUGUACUUUUUCCAUUGAAUUUUUUCUUUUCAGUAAAAAAAUUCAAUGGAAAGGGUUUAGUUGGGGUGACUGAAGAGGAAUAAACUUUUAUCCUCUUUUGUUUAGAAAACUUUAGGUUUAAUUUUGAUCCAAUAUUUUUUGAUUGUAAGAAUUAGUUACUAUAGGGAUAACAGCGUAAUUUUUUCAUAAAGUUCUUAUUGAAGAAAAAGAUUGCGACCUCGAUGUUGACUUAUUGUUUCCUUGAAAGGUGUAGUAGCUAAAAAGGUUAGUCUGUUCGACUAUUAAAACAAU
rnacentral:rRNA from 1 species